GGCUCAGAACGAACGCUGGCGGCGUGCCUAACACAUGCAAGUCGAGCGGGAAAGUUCCCUUCGGGGAGCGAGUACAGCGGCGAACGGGUGAGUAACACGUAGGUAACCUACCCUGGAGACUGGGAUAACCUGCCGAAAGGCGGGCUAAUACUAGAUAAGACCACGAGAGCUGCGGCUCUUGGGGUAAAAGGUGGCCUCUACUUGUAAGCUACCACUUCGGGAUGGGCCUGCGCGCCAUUAGCUAGUUGGUGAGGUAACGGCUCACCAAGGCUGAGAUGGCUAGCUGGUCUGAGAGGAUGGCCAGCCACACUGGGACUGAGGCACGGCCCAGACUCCUACGGGAGGCAGCAGUGGGGAAUCUUGCGCAAUGGGCGAAAGCCUGACGCAGCGACGCCGCGUGGGUGAUGAAGGCCUUCGGGUCGUAAAGCCCUGUCAAGAGGGACGAAUCCUCGUCGACCUAACACGUCGGCGACCUGACGGUACCUCUGAAGGAAGCACCGGCUAACUCCGUGCCAGCAGCCGCGGUAAUACGGAGGGUGCAAGCGUUGUUCGGAAUUACUGGGCGUAAAGCGCGUGUAGGCGGCCUCCUCAGUCUGGUGUGAAAGCCCGGGGCUCACCCCCGGAAGUGCAUUGGAUACUGGGAGGCUGGAGUACCGGAGAGGAGGGUGGAAUUCCUGGUGUAGCGGUGAAAUGCGUAGAUAUCAGGAGGAACACCGGUGGCGAAGGCGGCCCUCUGGACGGAUACUGACGCUGAGACGCGAAAGCGUGGGGAGCAAACAGGAUUAGAUACCCUGGUAGUCCACGCCGUAAACGAUGGGCACUAGGUGUUCGGGGUAUUGACCCCCUGAGUGCCGCACCUAACGCAUAAGUGCC
rnacentral:rRNA from 1 species